GUGGGGAAUAUUGGACAAUGGGCGAAAGCCUGAUCCAGCCAUGCCGCGUGUGUGAAGAAGGUCUUCGGAUUGUAAAGCACUUUAAGUUGGGAGGAAGGGCAGUAAGUUAAUACCUUGCUGUUUUGACGUUACCGACAGAAUAAGCACCGGCUAACUUCGUGCCAGCAGCCGCGGUAAUACGAAGGGUGCAAGCGUUAAUCGGAAUUACUGGGCGUAAAGCGCGCGUAGGUGGGUUUGUAAGUUGGAGGUGAAAUCCCCGGGCGCAACCUUGGAACUGCCUCCCAAACUGCAUGACUAGAGUACGGUAGAGGGUAGUGGAAUUUCCUGUGUAGCGGUGAAAUGCGUAGAUAUAGGAAGGAACACCAGUGGCGAAGGCGACUACCUGGACUGAUACUGACACUGAGGUGCGAAAGCGUGGGGAGCAAACAGGAUUAGAAACCCUGGUAGUCC
rnacentral:rRNA from 1 species